rnacentral:rRNA from 1 species
GAUGAACGCUGACAGAAUGCUUAACACAUGCAAGUCCACUUGAAUUUGGGUUUUUAACUUAGGUUUGGGUGGCGGACGGGUGAGUAACGCGUAAAGAACUUGCCUCACAGCUAGGGACAACAUUUGGAAACAAAUGCUAAUACCUAAUAUUAUGAUAAUAGGGCAUCCUAUAAUUAUGAAAGCUAUAAGCGCUGUGAGAGAGCUUUGCGUCCCAUUAGCUAGUUGGAGAGGUAACGGCUCACCAAGGCGAUGAUGGGUAGCCGGCCUGAGAGGGUGAUCGGCCACAAGGGGACUGAGACACGGCCCUUACUCCUACGGGAGGCAGCAGUGGGGAAUAUUGGACAAUGGACCAAGAGUCUGAUCCAGCAAUUCUGUGUGCACGAUGAAGUUUUUCGGAAUGUAAAGUGCUUUCAGUUGGGAAGAAAGAAAUGACGGUACCAACAGAAGAAGUGACGGCUAAAUACGUG